GAAUCACCAGCCUCCUGACUUGCCCAUGAAGACGUGAUAGAAACACAGUGGGUGCACUUAAUAUAUAAAAAUCUGCAUGAGAGGAGGGAAUUUGGGAGCUGUUUUAGAAAUCAUCCACAAUGAAAACCAAGAUGACAGCUAUGGGAAGAUCUUCUCGCACUUGGUAGCUGCUCAAAAACUUUCUUUUUUACAUUUACAUUUAAGGAAAAAAUAAAGUGGCAAGUCUUGCCUA